GCAGUGACAAAUCAGAUGAGGACGGUAGUUCGUCAUUUCACAGUUACGAUUAUUGUUAUUUUUGGAAUUGGUGUCCUUACGCCGCGACCUGCUCUCGCCUCUCGCCUCCACGACUCAAGCAGAUCUCACCUAUAACUAUGUAGUAACAAACCUAUCUUGGAUGAUCUGAUCAGGUCGCAGAUCUGGACCAAAUCACUUCCCGUGAGGUCACACGGAAUCUUCAAAGUUAGCCAGAAAUAAAAUAAUUCUCAAGAGUAAGACUCACAAAGAAAGCUUGUAGAUUAACCAACAAUGUCAAGAGAUUCGUGUCUUCCGC